UACGUAGGGGGGCAAGCGUUGUCCGGAAUUAUUGGGCGUAAAGCGCGCGCAGGCGGUUCUUUAAGUCUGGUGUCUAAGUGCGGGGCUCAACCCCGUGAUGCACUGGAAACUGGGGAACUUGAGUGUAGGAGAGGAAAGUGGAAUUCCACGUGUAGCGGUGAAAUGCGUAGAGAUGUGGAGGAACACCGAUGGCGAAGGCAGCCCCCCUGGGUCAAGAUUGACGCUCAUGCACGAAAGCGUGGGGAGCAAACAGG
rnacentral:rRNA from 1 species